UUAUAAGUGGACAUUUUUAAUAAUAUUUAUGUAUAAAAAAAAAAAAAAAAACGCUAUACGAAAUGUGUUUCUACAUUUUUGUAUGGUUGAUUAAUGGUUCUCAUUUAUAUCUAUAAAAAUUCUUGAUAGGCGACAAAACACAGUUUUAAUGAUUGUAUUACAUUAAUUGAGACACUAAAUGCAGCAUUUAAGAGCAAUUCUCUGUAACCACCAAAAAAAAAUUCUAAUAGGGUAUGGCACACAGUCUCAGAUUUUGAUGAAACUUUUAUAUAUAAUAGCCAGUACCAUACCUUAAUGCAAUAACAGGCAACAAAUUGUUCCGGAUAAUCCGGUUGCCAUGGAAACCACAUAGGUUGAUUUUAGCGAUAAAAGGUCAUUGAAAAAGUGAAAAAAAA
rnacentral:lncRNA from 1 species